rnacentral:rRNA from 1 species
AUACGGAGGGGGCUAGCGUUGUUCGGAAUUACUGGGCGUAAAGCGCUCGUAGGCGGCUUGUAAAGUCGGAUGUGAAAUCCCCGGGCUCAACCUGGGAACUGCAUUCGAAACUGGCAGGCUAGAGUGUAGUAGAGGCAAGUGGAAUUCCGGGUGUAGCGGUGAAAUGCGUAGAUAUCCGGAGGAACAUCAGUGGCGAAGGCGACUUGCUGGACUAAUACUGACGCUGAGGAGCGAAAGCGUGGGGAGCAAACGGGAUUAGAAACCCCGGUAGUCC